AAAACGAGGCUUCGUUUUCUCCUCAGCUUUUCUUCUUCUUUCCUUGACUGAGAUCUGAAACAUAUCGAUCCUCGUACAGAAAUUAAAAGCUAUCUUUCUUAAAUCCUCAUCUCAUAAAUCAAAACCAAUAUUUCAGAAAUGGAAUUAACCCAAUCUUUCAAUAACCCAGAUUUCUAAUUAAACUCUAAAAUGUGAUUUUUCUUUUCCAUUAACCCUAGCAAACAUAUAUCCAGAGAUGAAUUUUAACCAUUCGAAAGAGACGAGUAUAUCAAGUAAUAUCCUAUUCGUUAUUUUUGAUUCCGUGGGUCUAGUAGAUUCAGUGAUUUUCGAUCUACUUUUGGAUUCUUAAGCUUGUUGCUGUUGCUGUAAGCUUUCCACCUUGAGACUAAUAGAGAAUUAGAAGUUGGUCCUCAGUUUUCUUUCAAAGAAUAUCUUGAAAAAGUUAAUGAUGAUGAGAGUUUGAGGAGAUGGAAGGAACAACUUCUGGAUCUGUUGGUUAUCAUGUUGUUGGAGUGGAGAUUUGAAAUCUCACAAUUUUGUCACCUGGCCAACCUAAACUUGUCUUACCGAUCCCAUUUAAACCGAAUGCAAAAGGGUGGAGAUUUAAACUAUUUGGCAGAAUUUGGUGGAAAUUUUUCAUUCUUAGAGGUUCAUCGCAGUGAUGGAGAUGUUGUUGCUGGUAGAGAUUGGCUGCAAGUUUUAGCAGUUAGUGGUUGUUUGAUGGUGAAACUGGUGGUUCUGCAGCUGUUCAUGUUGUUGGUGGUAGCUUCAGUGAUGGUGGAUGGACCUGAUCUUAGUGGUGCAGCCAUUGCUACUUUAAUCAUCAACUUAUGACAGGAAUCACUAUCCUGGCUAUAUGAAAUCGAUGCAGGGGAUGAAAAUGCCACUAGAUUAAUGUACUUUACAUUCUAAAGUUGAAGUAUUGGGAACUGUCUUUCCAUUUGCUUUAGAAAUCAAGAUGUUAAAUGCCUGCUUGUUUACAACCUGUUGUCGAGAUAAUAAACCUCACACGCAACAAAGAAGGAAAUUGAUGUGCGGAAGAGUAUAUCGUGAAGCAGAUGAAGAUAAAGUUGGAUCAAUCAAUGGAAAUGGACAUGGAGAAUUUUUGUAUAUGCAAAGGGAUUACAAGAUGCGUUCAUAUUCAUUCAACUCUGUUUCAGCGCACUUCCUGAGAGAGCAGAUGAUUCUUUUUAUUUUCUUAUUCAUUCAACUCUGUUUCAGCGCACUUCCUGAGAGAGCAGAUGAUUCUUUUUAUUUUCUUUCUCAUACAGCAUAUCACUAAGAAAUAUAUUUUUGUUCACUGAUACGUUAUCACCUAUAUUUUUUAAUUCACUUGAGCUUGUUUCUCAGGAGGAGAAAUUAACUUAACAUUGGAUUUGCUGAA